CCUACGGGAGGCAGCAGUAAGGAAUAUUGGUCAAUGGGGGCAACCCUGAACCAGCCAUGCCGCGUGCAGGAUGACUGCCCUAUGGGUUGUAAACUGCUUUUGUUAGGGAAUAAACCCCGCUACGUGUAGCGGGCUGAAUGUACCUAAAGAAUAAGGAUCGGCUAACUCCGUGCCAGCAGCCGCGGUAAUACGGAGGAUCCGAGCGUUAUCCGGAUUUAUUGGGUUUAAAGGGUGCGUAGGCGGCACUUUAAGUCAGGGGUGAAAGACGGCAGCUCAACUGUCGCAGUGCCCUUGAUACUGAAGUGCUUGAAUGCGGUUGAAGACGGCGGAAUGAGACAAGUAGCGGUGAAAUGCAUAGAUAUGUCUCAGAACACCGAUUGCGAAGGCAGCUGUCUAAGCCGUUAUUGACGCUGAUGCACGAAAGCGUGGGGAUCGAACAGGAUUAGAUACCCUGGUAGUCAAUCCCGCGGCCAUGGCGGCCGGGAGCAUGCGACGUCGGGCCCAAUUCGCCCUA
rnacentral:rRNA from 1 species